rnacentral:lncRNA from 10 species
CCAGGGAUGGCCAGGGACUCAGAUGCCUGUAUUCUUGCUCUACCAUUCCCAGCAUAAGAUGCUCCUGCAGCGAUUAUCACAUCUAUUCUGGACCUAGCUUCAAGGGAUGCCAGGAAAUGCAGUCUUUAAGUGCCUAUGUGUUUAGCUAAAAAUUAAGAAAGAAAAAGAUACAGAUAGAUAUUACAGAACAAUUUGUUUCUGCUACAUUGGGCAUGUGAUUUCUAGUAAUGUGUCCAUUGAAAUACAAUUAUGAAAAAGGU